UAGGCGCACGGGUGAGUAACACGUGGAUCAUCUACCUCUUAGUGGGGAAUAACCCUGGGAAACCGGGGCUAAUACCGCAUAAGCCUGGAAAGGGAAAGCAGCAAUGCGCUGAGAGAGGAGUCCGCGGCCGAUUAGCUAGUUGGUAGGGUAAUGGCCUACCAAGGCGAUGAUCGGUAGCCGGCCUGAGAGGGCACACGGCCACACUGGCACUGAAACACGGGCCAG
rnacentral:rRNA from 1 species